GAAGUGAUAUCAAAUAAAUGAUGAGUCUAUUGUUUCCAAUUACAUCACCAUACCUCAUCCCCAGAUAAAGGUCUACGAGCAUAGUCGCGAACAUGAAUCUCGAGAGUUUCUUCGACCGACGAGAACUUCAGUGCGGUUCUCUGGACAUGAGAGGAGUUCCUCGAACCUCAUCCAAUCCCUCCCUCUCCUUUCCACGUCUGGUCUAUGGGAUCCUGUCUUCUAAAAGGAUGAAUUUUUCAGGAAUUGACCCUUUCACAGUUCAAACAAAUGGGAUAAUGGAAAGAAUGGAUCUACCUUCCAAUAUGAAGAAACUGGGAAUGAUUUAGACACUCGUAUUAUCCGUUCGCCCGGCUGUUUCUCC
rnacentral:lncRNA from 1 species